AGCUCAGUGGCCCGGAGCCUGCCUUGCGAGGGCAAGGUCCUGAAUUCGAUCCCUGGUUCCACACAGAAAAGCAGCUUCUGUCCUGGGCUCAUCUCAAGGUCCCCUGCACAGGUCCCUGGGGUUCACUCCCAGGCUCCUGGAGCCCCGGCCUGGGGGCUGGCAUGUCGUGGAGCCUCUGACGCUCGUGUCUUUGGUGACUCUGUCACUGCUCUCCUGUGGGUCUGAGAGCAGACAGUGUGAUCAGACUCGGCGGGUGCUGGUGGGCAGGAAGGGGACCAGGUCUCUCCUCGGGGCAGAGGGCGCUGCUCUUCCCCAGGUGGGAGGGUAAGGUCGUGGGUGGAGCUUCGGGGAGCAACUUCCCGGCUGUCUGGGCCGAACCUGGGAAGCUCAGCCUGCGGACCUGAUGUGGUAACCUGUGCCUCUCCCCUCUCUGCCUCCUGCUUCAGGCAGCCUGCUUUGUGUGGUCUAGGACACAGACCUCAUCUCUGGCACUGUCGCCUGAGACGCGCCUCGCAGCACCCCUCAGGACGGUCCUCUCGCCUGGUGACCAGGACCUCAGCCCGUACCCACCCAGCUCCCCCUCGGUGGCCACAGGGCAUCGGAGGACGCAGGUGUGGAGCUGUUCAGCUACCAGGAUGCCCCUCGGCUCUGUGGAGGCAGAGGCGGGUGACAAGCAACUCCUUCAUCGUUUCUCUCUGCCACGCUGUCAUUUGAGUGUUUGUGGGAUGCUCGUUCCUCGGCAUGGCUCAAGUCUGCUCGUUUCAGCUCUCUUGGCUGUGAAACAGGGACCUGUGAGGCCCAGGCUCACUGUGCAGAGUGAGGAUCAGUCAAGCAGUGUGUGCGAAGCUUUAGCACCGAGCCCGCAGCAGGAGCUCGGGCCCUGCUCAAGGUAGAACCAUUAGGAGCAGGUGAAGAAGGUGCUGAGAGAGAAGAUCAGUUCUGCUGGGGCGAGGACAAAGCCUAAGGGAGAUGAUGAACUCGUUGGCUGCGGUGUGUUCUAGCUACAGUUGGAGUACAAAGUAGGAGCACAUAACUGUACAGGAGAGGCAGAGUUGCAUUCAGAGUAGAGGGGCAUUGAAUGGGGUUCUGAAGAGUGGAUAAGAGUUGAAAGACAGGGAAGUCCUUUUCUGAGGAGGGAACACCCAAUGUAAAACACAGACCUCAGUGAAGUCUAGCCUGCUCAUCUCUCUUAGUCCGAGGCCCCAGGCGCCCCGCUGAAAGCCCCCUAUGUGGGCAAGUGCUAGGGCUCAGUGCUCUGUCAGCACAUGCAUAGCUCAGCUGGCUGGCGUAACCUUUGAAGCUGGGCUCUUGGCUGGGCCCUGGGCCGGGGGGCCCUCCCCUGCAGACCACCAGAACCGGCCCUGCUGUCCCUCUUGAGCAUGACAUGGGGUGGGGGGGACUUGGCCCUGGCUGUGGGUCUGCGGGUCUGAUGGGGCUGUUGCACUGCUGUGGCCCCUCCUGCUGGGCUUCGGCUCUGGGUUGCGUGACCACCCGGCUCCCUCCUGCUGCGGGACCCUUCCCCUCAUCCUGCAAUGCCGCUGUGCACCCUGGGCUGGGGAUCCUGCGAUGGCCAGGCAGAGCAGUCUCCCAGGCCGGGUGCCUUCUGUUCUGACGGGGUCAGACUCCCAUCCCUGAGCCUGAGACUCCACGCUUCCUCCUCGUUGUCUGUCCCAGGGGCCACUUCCGGGCCAGGCAGCUAGGUGUGGCAUGAGGCUCUCAUGUGCCUGUGCAGGACCUGUCUCCAGCACAGCUGUCACCUGCUGGCCAGUAGCAGGGCUCGCUGGCAAUAUGUCACCUGCCAGUCUCGACAACUCGAGGGCAGAAUGGCGCUGGGCUCACCUCGUCACCCAGCACUGAGCUGGACCAGGGGAGAAGGUGCACAUGAAGAGUGAGGACUUGGCUCCCUGAGGGCAGGGCUGCCUCCAGCUUCCCCCACAUCCUGCUCCACCCUGCAGCACCGGCCACAGCCCAAGUGCCUGAUAAAUGCUUAUGGAAUAAAUGAUUAUUUUAAUUACUCAAUGCGUCACCACAGGGCUCCUUUAAAUAGCCCUUAUUCUGGUGCAUUUAUGCUCAUUUAUAAAUAAUUAACUGUGUCACCAGGAGGCUUGGAGAAGGAAGACAACUGGAGAGGAAGGGCUGGUGGGCACUGUGGGUGGCAUGGAGACAUGGCAGGCCAGAGGAGUGGAGGGAGGAGGGUGUGGGCAGCAUCCUGGGCACCAGGCCUAGGCAGCAGCAGGGUCAGCUCCUGCAGGGCCUACAAACCAGACCACAUCUCCCUUCCCUGCUUCUCUGGGUGGGGGCGAGGAUCAGACCCGUUGGAUGCUCUCCCAGGGAGGGGGAUGUGGCCUGAGCUCCUGCCUGCCGGCCACAGCUUGUAGUCGGACAGGUCCAUGGUGUGGGUGGCACUGGCCUCCAGAACCUUGCUUCCUGGCACUCACACCUGUGUGCUCCUGCCCACUCAUGCCUUGGCCUGCAGGUGACUUGGGGGACACUGGGGCCUUGGCAAGCAUGAAGUAAGCAAAGGACAGCUGCAUGCUCAAGGAGGCUGCUCCUCUUCUUCUUCUUUUUUUUUUUUUUUGGUACAGGGGAUCGAACUCCGGUCCUUGCGCUGCGAAGCAGGCGGUGGAACCACUGAGCUAAAUCCCUGGCCCAAGGCUGCUUCUCUUGCUCUGCUUGCAGGGAAGCCAGUGUCCUGCGAUGCCAGCGCCCAGGGAGAGGCCACAGGAGAGAGUCCCCAGGGCCCUUCACCUCUACCUGGCACUUGGCUGGGUGCCCAGGCUCAAAGGACUCAGGGACCCUGGGGCAGAAGAACAGCCUGGCUGAACUAGGUCAGCCACAGAAUGGCAGGACAGAGUCAGAGCUGUUCUACGAGCCAAGCUGGCACUGGGAAUGGAGGUGGAAAUGCAGAGGAAAGUGCUUCUCACGGCGGGAAGCUGCUGGCGUCGGAAUGGAGGCCAGGUGCGCCAUCCGGUGAGCAUAAUUAUCCGGGAGAGUAAUUAACUUCUCUAAAGAAACUGCCACUGCUCAUUUUCAUCGGGCCACACAGAAGCAAAAGGUAAGAGUCCUGUAAUUAAAGACUCGUGAUUGUGGUCCCAUUCCAUCCUGCGACUAAUAAGUCCUCUAGGAGGAGCGGGGGCUGAGCUCUGCAGGCUGAGCGGCCUUGGGGAAGGCCUCACGCUGCGUGUUCCACCUGGCUUCUCCUCCUCUGGGCUCCGUCCUUGGCUUCCUCUCUGUUCUCUUAGAGAAGGGAGGGGUCACAUCAAAAGCGACUGCUGCACAGCCUAAAUGACCAGCACACACUGUGUGCAGGGGCUGAAAUAUCACACUGACCCCGUGAAUGUACACAAUGUUGACCUACAAUACAGCUUUGAAAAAGUGAAACAGCGCUGAAAUGCCUGCCCUUAUCUUCCUGCUGCCCCAUCCCCGCGUGGAAACAGAGGCGGGCCUGAGGUUGAGGAGCAGAAAGAGCAGCCUCAGGGGAUCGUGGGGGCCAGGGAUCAGGGCAAGGGGGGACAGUGCGGGCUGGGAUCUCACGGAUCCUCGCUCUCCUUGGCCUUUUGUACAAUCUGGGCAAACUGCGGACGUUUUCUAAAGUGGUUUGUUCAUCCUGAAAAGGGGACCUGCUCACCUGAGUGGUGAGGCUGAAGGUCAAUGAUAAGCAGUGAUAGUUCUUGGGGUGCAAUUUUGUUGAGUACCUACUAUGUGUAGACCCUCCUGGGCAUUUCAGGGAACUCAAUCCACUUGAUGGGCACAGCAACCCUACAAAGGGAGUGUAUUUAUUUCCCCAUUUUCCAUAUGAGGAGAUCAAGGCGUGGGAAUGUUAGGUAAUUUGUUCAAAGCCUGGCAGCCAAGUGGCUGCAGGAGCCAGGCCAGCUGUGUGCUGCCCCCCUCUGGGAGUCCCCUGGAGGUUUCUUGUCAUUUUUCCAACAAAGGGAGUGGCUCAGGUUCUGGGUCUGUGGCCUGUUCUGGCAGAGGUGCUUUUUCUCUGAGCAGUUUUCUCCACCUCGCACUUCUACCAUGAUGUUUCUGCUGCACCGCAGUCCCAUAGCAGUGGAGCCAGCUGACUGUGGUCUGAGGCCCCCGAAAUUGUGAGCCAAAAUCAAGUUCUGCCUUGGGUAUUUGAUACAGUAAAAGAAAGUCGAAACACUUGUAUGUUAAAAACCCUGGCAAAUAAUGUCUGCCUUUGAGUGAUCUGAAGAUUCCAUGAGUUAACAAGGAUGACUUUUCUAACACGUUUCCUGACUUGUAGUAGGCGAACAAGAAAUGUUUUGUGACACAUCUGGCACUGUGCUUUGUCUCUGCUGCUGGUUUUUGUGUCAUUGGCAUCAACAUGCAGCAGGAGGUUUGGGCAAAGCAAAUGCCCAAGGAGAAUUUACACUUCCGAUCUUAGCGAUGUUUCUGAAGGCUAAGACAUCUGUUUGGAAAGCCCGCACAAAGUGAGUCACUAGGGAUUUGGGCUCAAUCAGCACCGUUUGAAAAUAGCUCACCUGACCUUCCAUGCAU
ensembl:lncRNA